AUUGAACGCUGGCGGCAUGCCUAACACAUGCAAGUCGAACGGGGCAGCAAUGCCUAGUGGCGGACGGGUGAGGAAUACGUAGGGAUCUGCCCUUAAGUGGGGGAUAACCAGGGGAAACCCUGACUAAUACCGCAUGAUCUCUUCGGAGCAAAGAGGGGGACCGCAAGGCCUCUCGCUUCUGGAUGAGCCUACGUCUGAUUAGCUAGUUGGUAGGGUAAAGGCCUACCAAGGCGACGAUCAGUAACUGGUCUGAGAGGAUGAUCAGUUCACACCGGAACUGAGACACGGUCCGGACUCCUACGGGAGGCAGCAGUGGGGAAUAUUGGACAAUGGGCGCAAGCCUGAUCCAGCAAUGCCGCGUGUGUGAAGAAGGCCUUCGGGUUGUAAAGCACUUUAGCCUGGAAAGAAAAAACUUUGGUUAACACCCAAAGUCUUGACGGUACCAGGAGAAUAAGCACCGGCUAACUCUGUGCCAGCCGCCGCAGUAAAAC
rnacentral:rRNA from 1 species